UAGUGGGGCCCCCUGUGCCACAAUGAGUAAAAUUGUUUUAGACAAAGAAAUAUGAUAAAGACAUAUUGCUAGUCAAUCCUACCUUCUUUAUCCUGAAUCUUUGUCUUUACAUUCUCAAUAGUAUCACUUGGUUCAACCUCAAGUGUGAUAGUCUUGCCAGUCAGGGUCUUUACAAAGAUCUGCAUGGUGAGCUGAAAAAUAACCAAUAGCAACGUUUUAGGAACGUUACCUAUCUGUGACUCAAACAAUAGGGAAAUUGCUAUUGGCAGGGCAAAAUACAAUACACAUGUGAUGAUGAAGGACAAGAUUUAUGAAUAUAUGUUGACUAACAUAGAUAAUGAGUUUUAGUAUUUUUGCACAAGUGAAUAUAACAAAUCCUACAAGUUGAUUGGUCAAAUUUGACUUAUUAAGCUGUUAUAUUCACCUACAUAACAAAACCGAAAUUUUCAAAAAUUAUGGCGGCUAGCUGUUCUGUG